rnacentral:rRNA from 1 species
UACGUAGGGGGCGAGCGUUGUCCGGAUUUAUUGGGCGUAAAGAGCGUGUAGGCGGCCAGGUAGGUCUGCUGUGAAAACUCGAGGCUCAACCUCGAGACGUCGGCGGAAACCAUCUGGCUAGAGUCCGGAAGAGGAGAGUGGAAUUCCUGGUGUAGCGGUGAAAUGCGCAGAUAUCAGGAAGAACACCCGUGGCGAAGGCGGCUCUCUGGGACGGUACUGACGCUGAGACGCGAAAGCGUGGGAGCAACGGG